UGUGCCACUAUUUUCGUCUUACGCGUUCCUCGAGUAAAAUAUAUUUGUCUCGUCUUCCGGUUAUGGUUUUGUGGUAAGUAUUUGACAUUUUUAUAAUAUUGUUAACAUUAUGGUCCCAUUGACUUAUGCUUAGUACAGCGGUCAUCGUACGUUUAUCGAUUGUUAUAAUAAGUACUGUUAUAGUCGUAUGGCAUUCUAAUGACAUAUACCUAAUUAUUUUAUAUUUUUUUUAUUUAUUAAUUAAUUGUAUAGAUUAUUCUUAUAAAACUCUUAUUUUGGUUACGAUGCGGACAAAUAAAAAGGGUUUAGUUUCGGUCAUUCUGAAUAAUGAAAAUAUAUUUCAAAAAUUUGUUGACAUAAACAUCAUUAUAUUUUAAGGUUAUAUGUACGGAAAAUUAAAUGCACACAAUAGGUAUGCUUGUACUUGAUAUAUUUAAUAUUUGUAUUACAAUUGUUUGAAGAGAUUGUAGAUAUUGUCAAAUAAGACGUAUUUAUACUUUCGUGAAAAAAUGUAUGUUUACAUCAAUAUUAUUAAAAAUAACAUCCAAUUAGUAAUAUUGUGUAGUGUUUUAAACAACCCCAUUGACUGUUCUGAACUAUUGGCUGAAAUUGGUUUCCGUAUACCUAGUAGAAACACUAGGGGGAUAUAGAUUUAUUCAUAGUUCCUAAUUAUUUUACUAACAGUGGAAAUAAUACAUUUUUUCAAGGGCUUUUGUUUUGGUUAAGAAAAUGUCCACCAAAUUUGAUUUAUUUCAAAUAUAUUCACAUUUAAGGAUUCAAAAUUAAUACAACUGUUAUAUUAAAAUUAAUUUUAAUAAAAUAGUAUUUAUAUUUUAGACUGAUCGCUUAAAAUGUUACCUUUUCAAUAGAUACCUACCAAUAUUUGUAUAAAAUUAAUUUUUUGUUUUUGCAUAUAUCGUUAAACAUUAAGCAAUACGCUUAGUAAAACAUUCUGUAAAGUAGUUACUUGAGAUCAGUCCAGUCUGAAUUAGAGUCUGUGUAGCAAUAAAACUUAAGAAUAUAUAUAUGUGUUACAAUACUAGUCGAGUUGCUAUUGAUAAAUGCAUAGAUACAAAUGAGAUAAUAAAACGAGCUUGUAUAAUAUUUUUUACAAAAUAAAUUUUCUAAUUCUAUUAUUUUCAGCUGAAUUAAGACUACAAUAUGCGUGAUAAGACAAAGCUUUUUAUCCCAGAAACUUUAAUUUGGAUGUAAUUAUACAACAGUCAAUAAUGCCCAGGAAAAGUCGUGGAUCUAGUGAUAUUGUCAUUAACAAUGAAGAGGUGUCCUUACAUUCUAGUUUAAAAAAAUGGAGUUUUGUGGAAAAAGAAUGAUGUAGGUAUUCUUAAUCAAUGAUGUACUUAUAUUAUAAUUAAUUUAAAUUACUUGUAUUUAUAACAGUCUUGUAUUUUUCAAAAAAAAGGCACAAAUGUUAAAAUGGUGAAUUUCUUGGAGAAUGUUACUAAAAUUUGAAAAAUAAAUUAAUGGAAAUAUCAAUAUUUUUAAACAGUGAAAAUAAUAUCAAAUAUGAACAUGCAGCACUACUUAAAGAACUUAUGGAAGUACUCUUUUUUGACCUCAAAUGAUAUAUGAAAAAAAAAAAGUUUUUAAGAAGUCUAUGUCAAAUUUAAAAACAAGAACAAGUUAAAAAAUUCUGACUUUUAACAAUUCCAAAAAAUCCUAUCUACAAAUCAUGUGCAUCCUCAACAGAAUUAAGUGGUAAUUUUGUUGCCAAAUUCGCUUUACACUUAAAAGCCUAGAUUUUUCCUAGAUCAUGUAGUGUUAUAUAGGACUUUAGACUAUAAAACCAAAAUAACAAAAUCUAGUAUUAAACCUUCAACCUAAUGUCAAAAACCUAAUGAAGCAAAUAAACCAUAGUGUAGAAAAAUAUAGAACUAAAAUACUGGUAAUGUGUGAUAAACUUUGAAAUACUUUAAUGAUGCUCAAGAUCAAAAUGAUAAUAGUUUUCUAAAUCAACUUCAACACAAUGCUCUCGUAUCAUAUAUACAGAAAAAUCUACAGACAAGAUUUCAAAUACAUCAUUCAAUAAAAUUUAAAAAAGUUCCAAGUAUGCUACAGUAAAUAUUAAAACUAUGGAAAACUCAGGAAUUAUAUUUAAAAAGAUCACAAUAACAGUUUUUUUUUAUGGAAAUAAUAUAAUACCCCCAAUACAAUUUCUCAGUGGUACAGUUUCAAUAAGAAAGUAAUCCCUAAAUCAAUAAUUAAUAAAACAAUUAUAAUUUUAUUUGAUUUAAAACUGACUGAAAAUAAAAUAAAUAUUAUCAUUGAUUAUAAAAAUAAUGAUAAACUAGAAAAUUCAUAUUAUAUGCACAUCUAUUCUGAAAAUUACUAUUCUUUUGAAUUAUCAUAGCGGCCAAUAAUCUAUAAAAGUAUACUGCUUAUAAGUUCAUACCAACGUAUAAACCAUUUAGUUAGAGGGUUUGAUCAAGGGAACAAGACCCUUUUUCAGAUCAAGAUCCUAAUCAAAAUCAAUCGGGUUUCAUGAACCAUGAAUAAUUUUAGUAUCGGAGAUCAAAGAAACUGAAAAUGGAUCAGGGAAAUCAACUGAAAUAUAUAAAAACAUGAUUGGAAAUCAUUUAUAUCAUUACAUGGUAUAAGAAAUGUCAUUAAUAAUACAUUUUUUUAUCUUAAUGAUAAAAUUGGUUCAACUAAUGAUAAUGAGUUCAAAGACCAAAAGGAAUACUGCUACCUAGACCAAUUGCCAGCAGCUGUGAAUGGCUUUUCAAUGAAUAAGCUCGUGUAGAUUAUGCAGAAUAUAUGAAAGAAGGUAAGAAAAUGUAUUCAAAUUAUAC
rnacentral:lncRNA from 1 species